UUCUCUUCUUUAAGGCUCCGUCGAU
rnacentral:piRNA from 1 species